rnacentral:lncRNA from 1 species
UCGGUAUAUACCGUGGAACCAUGUUCACGGGUGACAGCUAUGAGAGAAAGAGUUUGUAAAUGCUUGUAAAGUGUUUUUAUAAAAUAGAUUUAUUAAUGAAACAGUCUGUUGAUUGGAAGGGGAAACGGGUAUUAGGACUAUACAGUUUUAAAAGACUCUUCCCUUAAGAAAAUUUGCAGUUGUGGACUUUCCUUAAAUGACUCUUCUUUAGAUCAAUUGUUUUCACCAGUUCUAGAUUGAUUCUGCAAUAAUCAACUUCACAUCCAUAAAGCCAUGAGUGUAGAUGAAGUAAAAAAUUUAUUACUAAAAAAAUUGAUAUUUUAGGUUAUUGAUUGCAGAGUCAGAGACCAAUGUGUGGAAUCUGAAAUUCUCUCUCACGAAACCCCAGCUAUCCUUCUGAUUCAACAAGGGUAUAAAGCAAUUAUAAUUUCAGGAGGUCCCAACUCAGUUCACGCAGUGGAUGCCCCACUAUACGACCCAGCAAUCUUUACUGGCAGUCUUUCAGUGCCGGAAAUUUGUUAUGCAUGCAAAUACUCAACAAGGAAUUAGGUGGAACGGUGAAGAGAAAAGAUGUUUGCGAAGAUGGGCAAUUCGAGAUCCAAAUAGAAAAGGAGUGUCCAUUGUUUAAAGGCUAAGAGACUCGGCAAAUUGUGUUACUGACCCGUGGUGACAGCGUAGAGAAGGUUGCAAAGGGGUUGCGUUGCGUCGCAAAAUCUUCACGUCAUAUUAUUUCCGCUAUUGCUGAUACUCCGUCUUUACGUAGUCCAGUUCCAUGAUUUGACUGAAAACGGACGAAAAAUGUGACAUAACUUCUUGUUCGACAUCUGUGGAUUGUAAGGACGUUUCACAUUGGAAGAACGCGAGCAGCUGUGUAUCGAUUACAUUCGGCGUACGGUUGAACGUGAUAAGAUCGUGCUCAUGUUGGUAAGAGGCGGAGUCGAUUCCGCCGUUUGUGCUGCCCUUCUCCACAAAGCACUUCUACAGGGUGAUGACUCGUCGCGAGUGCAGGCCAUCCAUAUCGACAACGGUUUUCUGCGUAAAGAUGAAUCCGAGCAGGUCGUCAAUAGUUUACAGCAACUCGGGCUCAAUCUUCGGUUAAUUUUUCUGGACCGUUCAGAAUAUUAUGAUUGGCCAAAAUGUGAUACGAGAUUAAUUGGUGCGUUGUCGUGUCACAUCUCAAUUUCUACGGUUUACAAUACUUGUUCUAUGACCGAGUUCUUUUACAGACAGGGGCUUCUUAUAUUUUCUUCUUACCGGCGAUUAGAUUUGAUGUUUCGAAUUGUUUUAGGUUGUUAAAGCAAGUUUGACUUUCUACGAUGCUUCCACCAACGUGCAUGGUAUCCAAACUUUGUCGUUGUGUCGGACUGUUAAUCCCUAAGAAAUACGUGGAAUUAUUGGCGAUAUGUUUGUUAAAGUGGCAGAUAGAACGGCUAACGAUUUAAAUCUCACUUGGUAUAAUCUAUUUCUCGGACAAGGUACUUUGAUGCCGGAUUUAAUUGAGUCCUCUUCGCAUAUGGCUUCUUCGCUCGCUGAUGCUGUAAAGAUUUAUCAUAAUGAUUCCGAAAUGGUUCGUCAGUUGCGCCUUCCCGGUCGUAUUGUAGAACCUCUUUAAGUAAGGGAAUUAUGUCGCGAGCUGGGUCUGCUCGCAGAAUUAGAGGUCAUCCGUCAUUUAACGUCAUCCGUUUCCUGGUCCCGGUUUGUUAAUUCGAAUUAGUUGCGCUGAAGAACCGUUCAUGGAAGUUGAUUUCGGUGAGACGCAAGUGCUGAUACGGAGGAUGUUCGAUUAUGCGAACAUGGCAACCAAGGAACAUGCCUUGCUCAAUCGGAUUGAAAUCACGAGGUCGGAAGAAGAGCGUCUUCUUCUGGAAGAACUGUCCCGUCACAACCAGUAUGUUGCCACGCUACUGCCUAGUCGCACUGUAGGUGUUCAGGAUGAUUGCCGAACUUAUAGCUAUCGCGUAGCACUGAGCUCUGAUCAGACACAACCAAACUGGAAUGAUUUAGCCACCUACGCCCGCUUAAUACCGCGUGUGUUCCAUAAUUUCAACCGUGUUUGCUACGUAUUCGGAAAGGCUGUGCGUGAAUCGGUGACAGACGUUACACCUACCUUCUUGACGAGUAACAUUUUGGCGACUUCAAGGAAAGCCGAUUAUUUGGCAAAUAAAAUAUUUCGGGAUUCGUUUUCUCCAAGAGGUUGGAGACAAGAUGGUUGAAGCCGUUUUAACUGUUCUAGGGUCUUGUAUGACCUGACAGCGAAACUAACCGCAAAAACGGAGUGGGAAGGAUUUGAUUUACGAACGUUGCUUAGGCAAAUUAUCUCCGCACUCUUUAUAGCACACGGAUACAGAGUUGUAUCAUUGACCAGAUUCAGUUGGGAAAUAUUAUGAACAGAAUGGAAUAUCUUCAUAUACUUUUGAAAUGGAAAAAUCAAUCAGCUUUGUCGUUUCGUGAAAAUCUCUUAAAAUGGCUUUAUAAGAGGAGUUCACGUGAUGACUUAUUGACAAUUCCCUAAAUAUACAUGCACACUUGUGGAAAAGAAUGGGUGCAUUUGUUUUUCGUCGAACUAGGUGGGUUGUUGUUCCUCUCCCUUGUAAAACUACCAUUUUAGCCUAAACUAAUAACUAUCAUUGAGCCUUGCGCAGUCUAGCUGCAUCCAGCCAGAUACGAGUAGAACCCGAAACAUUGUUUAGACGAAUACUGUCAAAUUUCGGUUGCAUGUUUUCACUAGAUACCAAAAUGAGCUUCCAAUUUGAAGUUGUGAGUGAUUUAUCGGAUUAUGGAUUCCUACUUUGAAAAUCAAAUUAUUUCCUUCUAAAAAUGGAUUUUGAAGUAUCGUACAUGUGGUAUUAUGUACUUGAUGAUAUCUUCGCGAAGCCUUUAAUUGACGUUUUACUAAAAAAUUCCCAUGGAAGGAAGUUCUUUCAGGAUCUGUUAUCGACCGUCUAUGUUAUGCAGUAAUUGGAUCUGCAGUUUAGUUAGAAACUUAGAAAUGUGCUCAGCAUAGAAUUUAUAUGAAAAAUGAUAUUUGAUUGGAAAAAGUUCCUGGUUGAGACAAGAGAUCAAAAAAAUGAUACUGUUUAGAAGGACGACCGGCAAUUUCAAGAUUCAUUUAUUUCCUUCCACUAUUUUUAUAUAUUUUUUAAAUUGAAUUGCAUAUCUGGGCUCCCUUCUUUUCUGUGGCCCCGUUUCCCCUUGACUUGUGAUAAGCCCGUAGGGGGUCAUGCCCCUACUGU